UAAUAAUCUAAUUAAUUCAUAAAUAACUAAUACUUUCGAAUUGGGUUAUAAUGAUAUGGAAACGUGAAAUUAAAGGAAAUAAUUUGUAAACUCUAUAGUAGGCUAGGCUAUGUUUUCAUUAAAAAAAUAGGCUACCCACAUGCACGUGAUUUCCUUUGGGCAGCCAGAUUAUCUGGUGUUAGUUUCGUGGAAGUGUAGGCUAGGUAUAAGGCUACGCAAACAUGGAAAACGGGGACACUGUCCAAAAGGCCUAAUUAAAGCGAUUGAAGAGGAGAAGCGAGAGAAACCGAGGAGGUGAAGCGCAGGUAUGAUGAGGCAUAUAGGCCUAGGCUUCACGUUAUUUGGGAGACAGACUGCCCAAAGCCACAGUGUGUGGUUUACUGUGGGAUGCUAUCUAACCAGUCUAAUGUUCUCCACACUGUGAGAGCUCAUAGACCAGUUCAUGUUUAUCAUACAUUUAUCAUGUAGGGCGGCUAAUUAAACAUGAUGCCUGGAAUGUGU